GCUUGGAUAAAGCUUUUGGCUGUAAACCAAAACAAGGAUAUAACAAUCC
rnacentral:tRNA from 1 species